UGUUUUAGGAGACCACUUUAAAGGAAGUGGGCAAUUAACACCUCUGCAAUCCUAGGACAAAGGAGAGUAAUAGGCAGUAAGGUUGUCUCGGGAUAUUUGGGUGGCCGUCCCAGGAUGAGUUCUACUUCUCUGUUUGAUCACAACACAGGAACAGCAGGAGCAGCAGCACCAACGUCCCCAGCUAGUUGGAUAUGGAAUUCAUCAUCACUUCUCGGCCUAAACUGCGGUGUAAAGUUGUGCUGCUAAAGAGCUGCCACAUUUCACCCCAGAGGCGGCUGCAUUUUGCUGUAAACAGGACCAUCAGGACAGCAGUGGGAGGCGAUUGCAAGUUACAGAACAAUUCGCAUUUUAGCAAGCACCAGGAGGGGAAGAAAACAGCAAGGAGCUGUUCACCACCAGACUCCAUGUCACCUUCCUCACAGCGGGAACAAACCAGACUUUGAGGGGUAACCUUCAGAAGAAUCAAAUUCAAAAGUUCCCUGGACUGUAAAAGAAAGUGGCAGAACCCUCCAAGUUCUCUCUUUCGCCUACCAAGGCAGAGAAACCAGCAAUUUGGGCUUCUAGAAGAGAUCCUGAUGGAGGAUAAGCCAUCACAUUGCUGGAAGACUGUGGGUGAGAAAAGCCAUCUUCAACAACACCUGUGCCUUGCUAGGUUCAGUUUGAGAGGUUUAGGUGUGUGUUUUCACUUUUUUUAGCUUGAAACCAUUUCUAACUUUAUC